rnacentral:rRNA from 1 species
GUGACAGCAGCCGCGGUAAUACGGAGGGUGCAAACGUUGCUCGGAAUUAUUGGGCGUAAAGCGUACGUAGGCGGUCCAGCAAGUCGGGUGUGAAAGCCCUCGGUUUAACCGAGGAAGUGCAUUCGAAACUACAGGACUNGGAUACUGGAGAGGAUUGCGGAAUUCCCGGUGUAGAGGUGAAAUUCGNNGAUAUCGGGAGGAACACCAGUGGNGAAGGNGGNAAUCUGGACAGAUAUUGACGCUGAUGUACGAAAGCGUGGGGAGCAAACA